ensembl:lncRNA
GUUAGAUUUUGUUUGCUAGUUAGAUUUUGCUCGUUAGACUAGCUUUUGCUUGUUAGAUUUUGUUUGCUAGCUAGAUUUUGCUUGAUAGUUAGAUUACGUUCACUAGUUAGAUUUUGUUUGCUAGACUAGCUAUCGCGCGUUAGUUAUAUUUUGCUUGCUAGUUACCUUUUGAUCACUAGUUAGAUUAUGUUCACUAGUUAGAUUUUGUUUGCUAGCUAGAUUUUGCUUGCUAGUUAGAUUUUGUUUGCUAGUUAGAUUUUGUUCACUAGUUAAAUGUUACCCGCUAGUUAGAUUUUGUUCACUGGGUUAGAUUUUGUUUGCUAGUUAGAUUUUGUUCACUGGGUUAGAUUUUGUUUGCUAGUUAGAUUUUGUUCACUAGGUUAGAUUUUGUUUGCUAGCUAGAUUUUGCUUGAUAGUUAGAUUUUGGUCACUAGUUAGAGUUUGUUCACUUGGCUAGAUUUUGUUUGCUAGUUAGAUUUUGCUGACUAGCUUCAGUUUUGCUCACUACUUAGAUUUUUCUUGCUAGACUAGCUUUUGCUCACUAGGUUAGAUUUUGCUCACUAAAGUAAUAAAAUCUAUGUAAAAUCUAACUAGCAAGCCAACAUUAACCUUAAGCCAACAUUAAAGAAAUUACGUUGAAAGGCUGCAAUUAAGUACAAGAGAGUUCUUUAGGAAAAAUGAAAUACAGAAACAUGCAGCAUUAAAGUAGCUCGAAGAAGAAAUACGUUUGGAUUGUGAAGUUGUAGAGAAUUGCGUGGCUUUGGGGCCGUAGCAGAAAAAGCCCAGGGAUCUUCUUGAUCAGAAGAGUAACCGGAGCAGAUAGUGAUAUAACAGGAGAACAGGCUUAUGGAAUAUAUAGCUGUAUGAAACGUAUACAUUUAUACAAACGAAUAGGACUUCAAAUGAACCCAGGGCUAAAGGACAGGAGAUAUACGAAGCCGCUUCAGGAAAUGUAGAGCUGAGCGACUAGCACACGGGUGCAGUACAGUACUCUAAUCCAGACGUGAAGAAAUAAAGACAUGUUCAAGCACUACACGCUCCAGAUCAGAGGUUAGAGAAGACUUCAGCUGUGCGCUGAAGAAACCUCAGCUUUACCACAGAGCUUUUACGCUCGCUGAAAUUACAAGCCAUGUCGAAGAUCAGACCGAGAUUUUUCCAGCACACGGCUUCAAGCUGAGCUGGUUAUAAGACGUCAUGAUAACAGCUUCAGGGGAAAAAAAAAACUCGGGUUGGUUUUCUUUCGGCUUUAGAAUGGGAUUUGUCACAAAGACUAUAACGUGUUUUCCAUAGCGAGGAAUAAAUCACGUGACUUGACGUGUCCAUAGAACGGAAGAGACACCGAGGCACAUUUGACCCCUCGGAAGAAAUUUAGAUAUGCAUAUGUAAAUGUGUUCCUGUAAAUACCCGCCCCCCUGCCCUGGCACACCCGUCGUGCAUGGCUUGUAUUUGCAUAUUGGAACAUGAGUAAUUUUUAUAUUUUAUGAUGUAAUAACACGUUCAGUCCUAACUUCUAAACAGUCUAAUGGGUUUUAUAAGCAGGAAGUGCAGAAAUAAAAAGCAAACAAAUAAGGAAUAAAUCUGAGGGUCCAUGGAAUUUUCCCCCAUAUUUAUUUAUUUAUUUAUUCUCAGGACUGAAGGCAAUUAUCUUUGAAAACAAACUUAAAUUUCCAACCAUUAAAAUGAACCAUUAUACAGUAAUGUGUUGUUGUUGUUGUUGUUGUUGUUUUUUAAGUAUAGUCCCCCUUCAAAACUAUUGGACCUUUGGGCCAAGUCAUUAGUUUGUGCUAUACACCGAAGACAUUUGGGUUUGAGAUCAAAAGAUGAACAUGAGAAGAGAGUUUAGAAUUUCAGCUUUUAUUUCCUGGUGUUUAUAUUUAGAUGUUAAACAACAUAUAACACAGCACAUUUUGUAUCAGACCACCCUAAAAAAAAAUACUGGAACAUGUGACUGAGCGGUGUUUCUUGUCGGUCCCAGGUGUGUCCUGUUAGAUCGAUUAAUA